UUCCGGUUGAUCCUGCCGGAGGCCACUGCUAUGGGGGUCCGACUAAGCCAUGCGAGUCGAGGGGGCGUCCCUUCUGGGACGCCACCGGCGGACGGCUCAGUAACACGUCGGUAACCUACCCUCGGGAGGGGGAUAACCCCGGGAAACUGGGGCUAAUCCCCCAUAGGCCUGGGGUACUGGAAGGUCCCCAGGCCGAAAGGGGACCGUUAGGUCCCGCCCGAGGAUGGGCCGGCGGCCGAUUAGGUAGUUGGUGGGGUAACGGCCCACCAAGCCGAAGAUCGGUACGGGCCGUGAGAGCGGGAGCCCGGAGAUGGACACUGAGACACGGGUCCAGGCCCUACGGGGCGCAGCAGGCGCGAAACCUCCGCAAUGCGGGAAACCGCGACGGGGGGACCCCCAGUGCCGUGCCUCUGGCACGGCUUUUCCGGAGUGUAAAAAGCUCCGGGAAUAAGGGCUGGGCAAGGCCGGUGGCAGCCGCCGCGGUAAUACCGGCGGCCCGAGUGGUGGCCACUAUUAUUGGGCCUAAAGCGGCCGUAGCCGGGCCCGUAAGUCCCUGGCGAAAUCCCACGGCUCAACCGUGGGGCUCGCUGGGGAUACUGCGGGCCUUGGGACCGGGAGAGGCCGGGGGUACCCCCGGGGUAGGGGUGAAAUCCUAUAAUCCCGGGGGGACCGCCAGUGGCGAAGGCGCCCGGCUGGAACGGGUCCGACGGUGAGGGCCGAAGGCCAGGGGAGCGAACCGGAUUAGAUACCCGGGUAGUCCUGGCUGUAAAGGAUGCGGGCUAGGUGUCGGGCGAGCUUCGAGCUCGCCCGGUGCCGUAGGGAAGCCGUUAAGCCCGCCGCCUGGGGAGUACGGCCGCAAGGCUGAAACUUAAAGGAAUUGGCGGGGGAGCACUACAAGGGGUGGAGCGUGCGGUUCAAUUGGAUUCAACGCCGGA
rnacentral:rRNA from 1 species